AAAAAGGUAAGCUAAUUAAAGCUCAUGGGUUCAUACCCCAUUAAUGUAGGCCCACCCUUCCCUUCUUA
rnacentral:tRNA from 1 species